UACAGGGGAUGCAAGUGUUAUCCGGAUUCAUUGGGCGUAAAGCGUCUACAGGUUGAUAUUUAAGUCUUUUGUUAAAUCUUGGAGCUUAACUCCAAACAUGCAAAGGAAACUAUUUAUCUAGAGUAUGGUAGAGGUAAAGGGAAUUUCUAGUGGAGCGGUGAAAUGCGCAGAUAUUAGAAGGAACACCAAAAGCGAAGGCACUUUACUGGGCCAUUACUGACACUCAUUGACGAAAGCUAGGGGAGCAAACGAG
rnacentral:rRNA from 1 species